rnacentral:rRNA from 1 species
GAUGAACGCUGGCGGCGUGCCUAAUACAUGCAAGUCGAGCGAACAGACGAGGAGCUUGCUCCUCUGACGUUAGCGGCGGACGGGUGAGUAACACGUGGAUAACCUACCUAUAAGACUGGGAUAACUUCGGGAAACCGGAGCUAAUACCGGAUAAUAUAUUGAACCGCAUGGUUCAAUAGUGAAAGACGGUUUUGCUGUAACUUAUAGAUGGAUCCGCGCCGCAUUAGCUAGUUGGUAAGGUAACGGCUUACCAAGGCGACGAUGCGUAGCCGACCUGAGAGGAUGAUCGGCCACACUGGAACUGAGACACGGUCCAGACUCCUACGGGAGGCAGCAGUAGGGAAUCUUCCGCAAUGGGCGAAAGCCUGACGGAGCAACGCCGCGUGAGUGAUGAAGGUCUUCGGAUCGUAAAACUCUGUUAUUAGGGAAGAACAAAUGUGUAAGUAACUAUGCACGUCCUGACGGUACCUAAUCAGAAAGCCACGGCUAACUACGUG